UACGUAGGUGACAAGCGUUGUCCGGAUUCAUUGGGCGUAAAGGGUGCGUAGGCGGCGCGGUAAGUCGGGUGUGAAAUCUCGGAGCUUAACUCCGAAACUGCAUUCGAUACUGCCGUGCUUGAGGACUGGAGAGGAGACUGGAAUUUACGGUGUAGCGGUGAAAUGCGUAGAUAUCGGGAGGAACACCUGUGGCGAAAGCGGCGCACUGGACCAUAACUGACGCUGAGGCGCGAAAGCUAGGGGAGCAAACAGG
rnacentral:rRNA from 1 species